ACUCCCAUCAGGGAACAUCAUUGCUAUAAAGGGGUGUGCGUGAUCUUCCCUCGGAAAAUGACACACUGAGCCAGCCUUUUGAUCUUAAAGAAAACAUGAAUCAUCAGACUAGGCAACCUUCUUCCUUUAUGCCAUAGUCCAGCUCUCAUGCUCACAUCCCCAUUGAAGGUUAUUUCGGUGGUGCACAGGAGUUAUCAUGGGCAAUCUGACCGUUCUGAGACUAUGU